rnacentral:sRNA from 2 species
GGACCGCAAAUUCUUGAACGCCAACCUCCUCUGCCUUGGACGCCACAUGUGCCAAGAAUUGUCGGUGUGGAAGUGGGCGAUAGGCACGGAACUCAUGUAGAAUUUUUGUCAAUGGUGUAGAUGGCAUUGGAAUUUGGAGAAGGUGGUCGAGUAGCGGGAUCUGUACGAAGAUAACUUAGCAACGCGCCACUCUCUCCGCGGAAAUUUAGCGGCUUGUUAUCUAAGACGCCUUCAUAGACAACGCCAUUUGGAAACAUUGACUGAGAUGUGAUACCGAAGAUAAAUACGCGGAACGAGAGAUAAUCACUAGGUUUGGAGUUCUUCCACAUAU